rnacentral:misc_RNA from 1 species
AUAUUUGUUUUGGUUUGCGACGUUCUAGACUUUAUAUGUUUGUAACGGCCCGAGGGCCACGGUUCACAGAGGUUGGUUGGAUAAGCCCCGAGGGACGUUCACUAAUGAUCCUUCCGCAGGUUCACCUACGGAAA